CCUACGGGUGGCUGCAGUGGGGAAUAUUGCACAAUGGGCGCAAGCCUGAUGCAGCCAUGCCGCGUGUGUGAAGAAGGCCUUCGGGUUGUAAAGCACUUUCAGCGGGGAGGAAGGCGGUGAGGUUAAUAACCUCAUCGAUUGACGUUACCCGCAGAGGAAGCACCGGCUAACUCCGUGCCAGCAGCCGCGGUAAUACGGAGGGUGCAAGCGUUAAUCGGAAUUACUGGGCGUAAAGCGCACGCAGGCGGUCUGUCAAGUCGGAUGUGAAAUCCCUGGGCUCAACCUGGGAACUGCAUUCGAAACUGGCAGGCUAGAGUCUUGUAGAGGGGGGUAGAAUUCCAGGUGUAGCGGUGAAAUGCGUAGAGAUCUGGAGGAAUACCGGUGGCGAAGGCGGCCCCCUGGACAAAGACUGGCGCUCAGGUGCGAAAGCGUGGGGAGCAAACAGGAUUAGAUACCCUUGUAGUC
rnacentral:rRNA from 1 species